GAUGAAGAACGCAGCGAAAUGCGAUAAGUCGUGUGAAUUGCAGAAUUCAGUGAAUCAUCGAAUCUUUGAACGCACAUUGCGCCCCUUGGUAUCCCGAGGGGCAUGCCUGUUCGAGCGUCAUUUCACCACUCAAGCCUGGCUUGGUGUUGGGCGACGUCCCCUUUGGGGACGCGCCUCGAAACGCUCGGCGGCGUGGCACCGGCUUUAAGCGUAGCAGAAUCUUUCGCUUUGGAAGUCGGGGCCCCGUCUGCCGGAAGACCUACUCGCAAGGUUGACCUCGGAUCAGGCAGGGAUACCCGCUGAACUUAAGCAUAUCAAUAAGCGGAGGA
rnacentral:misc_RNA from 1 species